GUUUCCAUAGUUCAACACCAAAUAACGCUUUAUUAUUGAGGAGAAGGAGAUCUGCAAUGUACAACUCUUCUUAUUUAGCUAAUAGAAUUUGGGUUUUCACCUUUGAAAAGUGAAGUAAUAUAGCAAAAUCAAAAGUGCAGAGCAAGAGAACAGAAAAAAAAAAAAGACAAUCUCACAUAAGAAAGAGAAUUUAUUUAUAGAGGAUCUGGUCAAGAAUAAAUAUUAGAUCCAAAAACUAAGGAAAAAUCAGUAGAUGAAAUGAACAAUAGGCUUUACAGGAGAGGAGUGAUGUAUGAAUUAACUGAUUAGUUCUCCAUGUUAGUGGGUUUUGAAUGAAAGGUGGAGUUGGAAGAGAGGAGGGUUAUGAGAGGUGAGUAGUAGGAUUUGUGAGUCCAUUAGCGUGAAAGAAAAGAGAAAGAGAGAAGGUGUAAAUCAUUGUGAUUGGAAAUUGUGGGCACAUGCUAUCCAUAGUUGGGAAUUGAUGUAUUGGUUUAUGAUAAGCAAUAUCAAUUUAUAUUAUAUGGUUGAUGUUCUGCUUCUGCUGCUUAAUAUGUCUGAUGCUAUACUGAAUUCAUUUGACAUCCUUUGGAAAAAUUACUAUAACAUAUAAUUUUAAAGUUAAUUAAAAUGUUUUUUUAUUUGGUUCUUUUGUGAGGAAUUUUAUAGUCAAUUAGUUAAAAGAGAGUACAAUUUCAAAUUUUAAAACUAUGCUUCUCCUUCAAAAUCUUCACUUGUUUAUCCUCAUUUAAUAAAACCACCAAUCCAAAACUAGCUGAACUCUCCCACCUCCACCUUGUUCUCCUAUCUCUGGAUUCUUCUCUUUGAUUUGAGAUUCGCAACUGGUAGUCUUAAUGGGUCAUAGCCAACUUUUUGUCCAGAUUUCUUCAAUUUAUAGGUUUUAUUUUGUUGAUUUUGUCAUGUAAAGCAAUACAGCUCUGCUGAUAACAUUGUGCAUUGCACUCCCAGGUAGAGGAGAAUAUGCGAUUAAGGACUGAACUUCAGAAAAAAAUUCAGGAACUUGAAAAAUAUGUAAGUGCUUCUAAUAGUUUCUGCUACUCUAUCCAAUAUGAAUUGAAUUGCUAGCUGAUUAAAUCCAAGUAAUUCCUUGUUAGCUGGUGUAUUUGCUGGUCUAUAAUUCCUGUUUUCUUUCUCUUAACUUUUUUUCUGUAUUAAGUAUCACUUCCAUCUUCCUAUGAAUAUGUUAAUUCCUUAUCUAUUUCUUUGUGUUUUUCUUUUUCUUUUCUGUCUGUUCAUCUUAACACUCUCAUUCUUGCUCAUGCUAAACAAAGAAAGCUCCCAGCUAUGCUGAAAAAAAAAAAGAAAAUAUUUUUUUUGAGUUCGAAACUUAUUUCUCAUUCAACUGCUGGUAGUUUUUAAUAAGAACUGUUAUUAGCUGCAUUAAGCACAUUUGCCUUCAAAUUAAUUUUUUCCAUUGUAAUUUUUAAUUGUCAUAUGCCCAUAUCAUUGACUAUGUAAUUCUUGAUAUUUGCAAUUGAGAAUGGUUGUCAUGAGCUGAUUUUUCUUUUCUCUUCCGAGUUAUAAUUCAAUUCUAUCCCCCCUUUUCAUGUUUUAUUUUUUUUUCACCUUUUCUUGCAUCCUCUUUCCAUUUUAAUAAAACGAAAGCUAAGGUGUUGGGGAUUUUCAUUUCACCAUAGUGCAUGUUUUAGGAAACAUACAUUAUUGAUUAUACCAGGCUAACAUAGGUCUGUUUAAAUGCUGCAUAUGCUCUAAUUUGGACAAAACGAGGCUCAAUUGCUCAAAAUGGUUAAGCAUGCCUUAGUAUCUUGACCUUACACUUCCAACAUAAUCAGGUACUAAAACUGGAGAAUAUGGACAAAACCAGGCAUUGGAAAAUCGUGGGCUGUAGCGCAUACACAGGGGAGGGGCUGCUUGAGGGAUUUGAUUGGUUGGUUCAAGACAUGAUGAUACCUUAGGAUCUAGUCAACAUUAAGCAAUAGAGUUAGGUUUUUUUUAUUGGCCCUCUCAGAGAACUGAUUAACGUCCAUUUGUACUGUUUUAUUAACUAUCUUAUUGUUGUGGAAUUUAGUCAAGCUGUGAAUUCGACAAAAAAAAAAAAGUCAAGCUGUGAAACUUUUUGGGUCAAUAGUAUUAUUAAAACUUUCAAUGGGAA